rnacentral:rRNA from 1 species
ACUCAAAUGAAUAGACGGGGGCCCGCACAAGCAGUGGAGUAUGUGGUUUAAUUCGAAGCAACGCGAAGAACCUUACCAGGUCUUGACAUCCGACUAACGAAGCAGAGAUGCAUCAGGUGCCCUUCGGGGAAAGUCGAGACAGGUGGUGCAUGGUUGUCGUCAGCUCGUGUCGUGAGAUGUUGGGUUAAGUCCCGCAACGAGCGCAACCCUUGUUUUUAGUUGCUACGCAAGAGCACUCUAAAGAGACUGCCGUUGACAAAACGGAGGAAGGUAGGGACGACGUCAAAUCAUCAUGCCCUUUAUGACCUGGGCUACACACGUACUACAAUGGUCGCUAACAAAGGGAAGCAAUAUCGCGAGAUGGAGCAAAUCCCCAAAAGCGGUCUCAGUUCAGAUUGCAGGCUGCAACCCGCCUGCAUGAAGUAGGAAUUGCUAGUAAUCGCGGAUCAGCAUGCCGCGGUGAAUACGUUCCCGGGCCUUGUACACACCGCCCGU